rnacentral:rRNA from 1 species
UACGGGGGGGGCAAGCGUUGUCCGGAAUCACUGGGCGUAAAGGGCGCGUAGGCGGCCUGGUAAGUCCGCUGUGAAAGUCGGGGGCUCAACCCUCGGAUGCCGGUGGAUACUGUCGGGCUUGAGUACGGAAGAGGCGAGUGGAAUUCCUGGUGUAGCGGUGAAAUGCGCAGAUAUCAGGAGGAACACCAAUUGCGAAGGCAGCUCGCUGGGACGUUACUGACGCUGAGACGCGAAAGCGUGGGGAGCAAACAGG